rnacentral:rRNA from 1 species
AUGGCGCCGCCGGUGGUGGAGGUGGCGCCUGUCGUGGAGGGGAAGAAGGUUGGCCGGGUGAAGUGGGUAAAGCAUUAUUCCUCUUCGCAGAGCAUCCUGAUCGUCGGCGACGGUGACCUCUCCUUUUCGCGGGCGCUCGCCACGGCCUUCGGCUCCGGAGAUUGCAUCGUCGCCACAUCCCUGGACUCCUACAGUGAUCUAAUUGGCAUGUAUAGCCAAGCGGAAUCAAAUGUCAAGGAGCUGAAGAGGAUGGGCGCCACGGUCUUGCAUGGCGUCGAUGUGAAAAACACGAAGAAACACGUUGAUCUCAAGUUUACUCGGUUCGAACGGAUUAUCUUCAAUUUGCCCCAUGCUGGCGCGCAUCAGGUGCUGGUGAGGAGGUUCUUCCGCAAUGCAAGCCAUCUUCUUCAUCCUGACGGUGAGAUCCAUGUUAGCCACAAGACAGGGGAGCGUUACAACAGAUGGGAGAUUGAAGAGCUGGCCUCUGAGUUUUCACUUGUUAUGUUCAAGUCGCUCGUCUUCCGGAAGGAAGAUUACCCCGGAUAUAACCAGAAGAGAGGAGAUGGCGAAAGGUGUGACCAAGAAUUCCCUCUGCGUAAUGGCUGCACUUUCAUGUUCUCGCUCACUCCCUCUGUUUUUUCGUUGGUUCUGUGA